rnacentral:rRNA from 1 species
CCCUUAGAUGUUCUGGGCCGCACACGCGCUACACUGAAGGAGGCAGCGUGUACUCCUGGAUCGAAAGAUUUGGGUAACCCGCGAAUCUCCUUCGUGCUAGGGAUUGAGGUUUGCAAUUAUCCUUCAUGAACGAGGAAUUCCCAGUAAGUGCAAGUCAUAAGCUUGCGCUGACUACGUCCCGGCCCUUUGUACACACCGCCCGUCGCUACUACCGAUUGAAUGAUUUAGUGAGGACUUCGGACUGGGACCGAUGCGGCUUUCGGGCUGCGUCGGUAUUCUGGAAAGAUGUCCAAACUGUAUCAUUUAGAGGAAGUAAAAGUCGUAACA